CGAAGAUCUGGAGCAAGGGCCAGGUGGGAUGCUCAGAAGCCUCUUUGGAAGGUGGUCAACAGCCUGGCACCAGGGAUGUGCCACCAAGCAGGCUUCCCGAAGUUGGAGCUGGCAUGGGGAUGAGGAGGCUGGGACACAUCUGGCUCUUGAUCUGGAAUAACCCUCCAAACUCGUGUCUUCCAGAGAACAUCCUCUUCUUAAUUAAGCAGUCUUGCUCCAUAUAAAAAAGCAGAGAGCGCCAGGAUCCCCAGAGGUGCUGAUGCUGAGACUUCCCAGGGGUGUGCGCUUCUCCGGGCGGUGAAAACACCCGUGUGCCCCUGAGGACACUCAGACCAGCUGGCUUUGGGGAUGUGGGACAGCAGAAAGCACUUGCCAUCUGCCUGCAGAGCCUGCAAACCCCAGCAUGGUCUCCUCCUUCCAGCAGAAGCAUCCCUGGAUGUCAGUAAUCCCAGCAGGUUUUUAACACCACUGGACUUCACUGGAGAGAGGCAGUGGCUGGGAGAGAGAGCCUGAGCCCUCAGCUGUCAGCUCAAGCUGCUGACUACAACCAGGGCUCCAUGACACUGAAGAGCUGAAUCCAUCCCAGAUCCUGGACUGAUAAGACAUUAAUGAAUUGUUAAGGGUUUAUCAAAACUGCAGAUGAAAUUUAAAGCAAAUUCUUUGUCAGCAGAAACUGACUUUCAAUGUACUCUUUCAACACAUGCAAAAUGG
rnacentral:lncRNA from 1 species